UUAAAGUCCGGGUUGCGUUGAUUUUCCUCCUCCAUCGCAAUCGACAGGCCAAAGACAAACGUUGACAGAUGCGGCGUGGUAUUAAACAGCACCAGAUGGCGCUGUAAGGCGCGCCCCAGUUCGGCGGCUGCAACUCGACUCCAUGAAGUCGGAAUCGCUAGUAAUCGUGGAUCAGAAUGCCACGGUGAAUACGUUCCCGGGCCUUGUACACACCGCCCGUCACACCAUGGGAGUGGGUUGCAAAAGAAGUAGGU
rnacentral:rRNA from 1 species